rnacentral:lncRNA from 1 species
AUUAUUUAAAUAAGAUGUUUGGUGUGUAUUAGACUUGGGCAUUUCAGAAAUUUUCGUUUCGUACGAAUGUAUUCGUACGAAAAAGAAAAUACUUUAGUCAGAACCGAAUUUCGUCAAUUCUUUCAUUCGUUUUCGUACGAUAUUCGGUAGUAUUUUCGUUUCGGCUAAACUUGUUUGUUCAUUCGGCGCGAUUUAAUUGAGCCAAAUGAAUUGAAUACAUAAAACUAUGUUCCC